CCUACGGGUGGCAGCACUGGGGAAUAUUGGUCAAUGGCCGGAAGGCUGAACCAGCCAAGUCGCGUGAGGGAAGACGGCCCUACGGGUUGUAAACCUCUUUUGUCAGGGAGCAAGGUGCAGGUCGGGAUCUACCGUGAGAGUACCUGACGAAAAAGCAUCGGCUAACUCCGUGCCAGCAGCCGCGGUAAUACGGAGGAUGAGAGCGUUAUCCGGAUUUAUUGGGUUAAAGGGGUGCGCAGGGGGAGGACUAGGUCAGGGGUAAAAUCGCGGGGCUAAACCCGGCUCUGCCGUUGAAACUGUUGACCUGGAGUGUGCGAAGGGUAGGCGGAAUGCGUGGUGUAGCGGUGAAAUGCAUAGAGAUCACGCAGAACACCGAUCGCGAAGGCAGCUUACCGGCGCGCAACUGACGCUCAGGCACGAAAGCGUGGGUAGCGAACAGGAUUAGAUACCCGGGUAGUC
rnacentral:rRNA from 1 species